UAUGUGAUCGUCUCUCGCAUAUCAAUAAGCGGAGGAAAAGAAACUAACAAGGAUUCCCCUAGUAACGGCGAGUGAAGCGGGAAGAGCUCAAAUUUGAAAUCUUAAAGGGUUUCCCUUUACGAAUUGUAGUUUAAAGAAGUGUUUUCUGUUGAGGUUUUGGUAAAAGUUCUUUGGAAUAGGACAUCAUAGAGGGUGAGAAUCCCGUAUUUGACCUUUACUUUCAACUUUGUGAUACACUUUCAAAGAGUCGGAUUGUUUGGGAAUGCAGUCCAAAAUGGGUGGUAAAUUUCAUCUAAAGCUAAAUAUUGGCGAGAGACCGAUAGCGAACAAGUACCGUGAGGGAAAGAUGAAAAGAACUUUGAAAAGAGAGUUAAACAGUACGUGAAAUUGUCAAAAGGGAAGCGUUUGACACCAGUGUUGUUUUUCUGAAAAUCAAUUAAAGAACUGUUUAUGCUAAGCUGUUUAGACUUUAUCAGCUAACUGUUUAGUUUUGAGCUUUUCUUUAAUGCACUUUUCAGUUAACAAGUCAACAUCAAUUUCUUUUGCUGUAAAAAAGCUUGAGGAAGAUGGCUUGAGAUUCGUCUUAAGUGUUUAUAGCCUCUUGCCUACGCAGUCGGAGAGAUUGAGGUCUGCAGCGUAGAUCCUUCGGGGCUAAAUGCAUUUGUGCUAAGUUAUAGCAUUUUAUAGACAACUUGUUGACUAUGAUUUGUCCUGUAGCUUACUCGCUUAUGUUAUUUUACCUACGCUUAGGAUGUUGACGCGCGUGUGUGCGUG
rnacentral:rRNA from 1 species